AUGAACGCUAGCGGGAGGCCUAACACAUGCAAGCCGAGCGGUAUUGUUUCUUCGGAAAUGAGAGAGCGGCGUACGGGUGCGGAACACGUGUGCAACCUGCCUUUUAUCUGGGGGAUAGCCUUUCGAAAGGAAGAUUUAAUACUCCAUAAUAUAUUGAUUGGCAUCAAUUAAUAUUGAAAGCUCCGGCGGAUAGAGAUGGGCACGCGCAAGAUUAGCUAGUUGGUGAGGUAAAGGCUCACCAAGGCGACGAUGGGUAGCCGGCCUGAGAGGGUGAACGGCCACACUGGGACUGAGACACGGCCCAGACUCCUACGGGAGGCAGCAGUAGGGAAUCUUCCGCAAUGGGCGCAAGCCUGACGGAGCGACGCCGCGUGAGUGAUGAAGGCCUUCGGGUCGUAAAGCUCUGUUCUUGAGGACGAAUAAGCCAGGGAGUGGAAAGCCCUGGUGAUGACUGUACUCAAGGAGAAAGCUCCGGCUAACUACGUG
rnacentral:rRNA from 1 species